ACCAACAUAAACAAAAUGAACCCUCCAGAUCCCAUCUGAUCUCGGAAGCUAAGCAAGGGUUGGGCCUGGUUAGUACUUGGAUGGGAGACUACCUAGGAAUACCAGGAGCUGUAUGUU
rnacentral:rRNA from 1 species